GUGCUCGGCAGUGAGGAAGACGAUGAGUUCCUGAGGAAGGAACAAGGGGAGCCGGGGGAGGGGGGCCAGUUUGACGUGAUCCCCCUCUACUCUGAGAGGGCCACGGCCCCCAGCCUGGGGCCCCGGGGGGCCGCCACCACCGGGACCACCCCGCCGCUCCAAUGGGUCCUCCUGGUCUUCUCGGCUCUUCAUCUCAGCUGGGGUUAGGGUGACCUCCCGGGGGGGGGGGGGGGCACACACACACACACACACACACACACACAUUGAAAACCAACCACCCUGCACCCACAGACUGUUGUCCGGAGAAGGCUGGAGACGGGGAACGACACAAAAAGAAAGAACCCUCUACUACCCCCCCAGCAUCUUAUCUAUUCUCUCAUGUCUGCUCUGACUGUUGCGCUUGGGACCGCUCGUGGUCCCGUGUCCACGUCCAACCCUUUCCCCCGGCCCGUCUGCAGGCCGCCCCAGCAGCGUUGUGUGCGACGUAGGACGGGCUGCAGAGUCCCGGGCAGGAGGUGGAGCUGGUGCUGAGGCUGAGGAAGUAUGUGAUGUAUGAGACGCUUCUUCUAAGUGAUGGAUCUGCGUGGCCCGACACGUCUCUCUCUCCUCCUAAUAAGAAAAAAAUAACUACUACUACAAACAAUAUACUGGUCCAUAACAGCUUGAUGUGUGUGUGUGUGUGUGUGUGUGUGUGUGUGUGUGUGUGUGUGUGUGUGUGUGUGUGUGUGUGUGUGUGUGUGUGUGUGUGUGUGUGUGUGUGUGUGUUAUUCGCGUUGUUCAUGGAGAUAAUUACAGUCUUGGUGGAGGCAAAACAGAUUACAGAACUGUAUUACACAAUGGAUUUAUAAUUUUCACUCGCAAUUUGUUUGUUCCAUGCCGAGUAAUGGAACACGCUAGGUUGAGGAAACAGGAAGAAAUGGAAGAAUUGAAAAGUGCAGAGAGACAGAAGGCGUGGCGGGCGUGCUCUCAUCCCGUCUACUCUUCCUUGUUCUUUCUCUCUCUCCCUCUCUCUAUCUUGUCUCUUUCUCCCAUCCCUCACAAGAGAAAAAACUUUAGCCACCCACGCACAAACACACACACACACACACACAUAAACACACACUUAGUCGCAAGAAACCCACCUUGACCUUGUUCUGUCUGCCUCCUGGGCGUGCAACCCCUCGUAUAAAAGGCCGUCCAUCAGCCGGAAACCCCAGUCCUACAGGGCCGAGAGAGGGGGGAGACAGGGGGAGAGGGGGGAGACAGGGGGAGAGAAAGAGAGAAAGAGAGCUGGGCUGUGUUACCUUUGGAUCUUUUCUAUCUUCUGUGACUCUGUGGUACAGCAUGACAUCAUUAAUGGACAGGUCACCCCCUCCCUCCCUCCCUCCCACUCACUCACACACACACACACACACACACACACACACACACACACACACACACACACACACACACACACACACACCCACAGUCGACCCCCGAGGGGUUAAUUGGGAUCAGAGGGGGUGGGGUUGAUGAUCGAUGUCGCUGUUGAGCUGUGUGAAAGAGAAGUCCUCCACACAGCCACUCUCUCUUUCAAGAUGCCCGUUGUUAUUUUUAAUUGUUUUUCGGGGGGGGGUGUUGUCUCUUGACAUGCACCCACUGGUCACCCCUUACACACACAGACACACACACACACACACACACACACACACACACACACACACACACACACACACACACACUACAAUCGUGACACACACAAGACCUUCUGAAGCCCCCUGGUGGAGUCGGACGUGGAGAGAGAGAGAGAGAGAGAGAGAGAGAGAGAGAGAGAGGGAGAGAGAGAGACGGAGGGAGGGAGGGAGGGAGGGAGAGAGCAGCGUGGACACUGAUGAUUUAUUUUAAUAUGUAGGGAAAUAAACAAGAGAUGAAGCCAUGCGUUAAAUCAACUCAGAGAGGUAGAGAGAGAGAUAGAAAGAAAGCCCUGAGGGCUAGGAGCCAGAAACGCUGUGUGUGUGUGUGUGUGUGUGUGUGUGUGUGUGUGUGUGUGUGUGUGUGUGUGUGUGUGUGUGUGUGUGUGUGUGUGUGUGUGUGUGUGUGUGUGUGUGUGUGUGUUUAUGCAUAUAGCGCCUAGCUCUUUGGAAAGAUCUCUUCUUUUAUUGUUCUAUUACCGUGCGGCAGAUUUACACACACACACAAGUCAGGCCAGAUGCAAGAAGAGUGUUUGUAUUUUCCUGUGUGUGUGUGUGUGUGUGUGUGUGUGCGUGUGUGUGUG
ensembl:lncRNA